rnacentral:sRNA from 1 species
AUGUACCAUGCGUCCACUGCGGUUCUGAGCGCGCCGUCCGCGCCCACCUGACAACGGGCCCCUAAGCUUGGGUUACC